UGGUUGUACCUGUGCCUUACUUUUGUUUAAAAAGUGAGGAGACGAGAUAAUAUGUUCAUUUUAGUAGCGUCAUGAAAACAGUUCUUAUACUUAUAGCGUUGGUGGUCAUUGGGCAGGCAGAUUCUGAUCCAGUAAACGAGGUCAGGGAAGAGUAUGGUCCAUUGGGCAUGGCUUUAGGACUAUCUCGAUUAGAUGCGAAGGCAACAAAAGAGCCUGACCUAGUAUGAGACAUCAUUAUUGUCUGACACCCACCAGCAUAGAGCAUCUACUACAUUGUUGUUUAUUUCCCGAACUCAUGUUGUUCGUAGAAGUAAUCAUCAAAUUCUAGAAGAAUGCUCUGGGUUCAGACAAUCGUGAAUACAUCAUGUCAUACAAUUGUAAAAUCAUUGCGAAAUGUCGGCAACAUUUCUUAUACUCUCACAAGAUUCUUUUCCAUGGAAUUCCUAGCAUUAAUAAUAUAACUAGUAGUAAAAUCUAUGUGCUUGUCAUGCAUCCUUUAUUUUGUAUAUAUAAUCAUAUUAUCUGCAAUAUAUUAUUUACAUCGUUUUUACAUUAAUAUCACAUUCAUCGUGUAAGUGUUUUUGCCAUCAUCCAGCUAAUGACUAUCGGAAACUUAAAGCUUUAAUCUAGCAUGUUCCGGUAGGAUGUGCCGUUGAUGACAAAGACAUUCCUUGUCUUAAUAAAGUAGUUAAAAUCUU